GUAAAGGUAGUUUAUCAAAAUGAUUGGUUGUGGGUCAAUAGAUAGGCCUUUAGGGCCUCUUUUACA
rnacentral:tRNA from 1 species